rnacentral:rRNA from 1 species
AGAGUUUGAUCCUGGCUCAGGAUGAACGCUAGCGGCAGGCCUAACACAUGCAAGUCGAGCGGGAUUCGGUAGCUUGCUACCGAUGAGAGCGGCGCACGGGUGCGUAACGCGUAUACAAUCUGCCUCUUACUGCGGGAUAGCCCAGAGAAAUUUGGAUUAACACCGCAUAGCAUAGUGUUCCGGCAUCGGGACGUUAUUAAAGGUUACGGUAAGAGAUGAGUAUGCGUCCUAUUAGCUAGUUGGUAAGGUAACGGCUUACCAAGGCAACGAUAGGUAGGGGCCCUGAGAGGGGGAUCCCCCACACUGGUACUGAGACACGGACCAGACUCCUACGGGAGGCAGCAGUGAGGAAUAUUGGACAAUGGGCGCAAGCCUGAUCCAGCCAUGCCGCGUGCAGGAAGACGGCCCUAUGGGUUGUAAACUGCUUUUGUACGGGAAGAAACACCACUACGCGUAGUGGCUUGACGGUACCGUAAGAAUAAGGAUCGGCUAACUCCGUGCCAGCAGCCGCGGUAAUA